ACCAAAGCAAACAUAAAUCUCCAUAACACUAGAUGCUCUAAUUGUUAUUGCUCGCUGCCCAGCUGACUUUUGUUUACAAACAAAACGCACACACACAAACACACCAUCAACCUCCUUCCUCGCACAGACGUGAGGAGGACGGACUAGCGAGGUGAUUGGUAACUUGGACCGAGGUAAACAGUGCACGUCGGGACACAGGGCGGGGAGGUGCUGCCGGUCGUUUCUCUUAUCUGACCGACUCGGUUCUUUAAAUGUAUGAUGAUGGAUCCAAUUGGUUGUUACUGCUGUUAAAGGCCAGUUUGCUGCAUCAGUGGUCGUCAGCGUGGGUAGUACAGCACCUCGUCAGCGUGGAUAGUACAGCACCUUCUUAUUUACUGGGGUUAGUAAGUUUGCUGUAUACGUAAAGUCUGCUUUACUUAACUUUGCCACUGGGGUCUAGAGGCGGUCGAUCGCAUCUGGACAUUGUUGGCAAGUAUUGGGCAUGUAAUGGCUCUGUUACACCCUGUUGGCAAGUACUGGGAAUGUACCGUUACACAGUUGGCAAGUACUGGGGAUGUACUGUCUGUUACACCCUGUUGGCACGUACUGGGAAUGUACUAGCUCUUACUGUUGACCAGUACUGUACAUGUACUGGCUGUUACUGUUCUGUAGUCACUAAACAGCUCAC